CGCCGCCCGAGCCGUCGAUCGGCCGAUGCGAUGCGCCCAGCGGCUCGCCGCCCUUAGCGAGGGGAUAAGGACCCCGGCGCCUCCCUCCUUCUCCCCUAUCCCUCUCUCCCCCGUGCCCUCUCUUAUCCUCUCUCUGCGCGCGCCGCUAGAGGCCUCCCCAAGCCUAGCCGUCGACGUCGUUCGCUCCGCCUCGCCCCUGCAUCUUCCUCGCCAAAGGAAUUGGCCGCUGGCGCCCCCAAUCGACGCCAACAACGUCUUCUUCCCCGCAGCCGGCCGAGCUCGCCGUGGCCGCCGCGGCGCCUCCCGACGUCCCCCAGCCUCGCUGACCCCUCCACGACGCUCGUGAGCAAGUGCCCGAGAAGAUGAAGAUCGACGAAGACGCAACUCAAUACUUGUCCAUCGACGAACAAGUCAAGCAUGGGAUCUCCGAAGAUCCACUUUUGUUUGUCAGGUGCUACUGACAACACCAACCACACCAGCAGACAUGACCAAGAAGAUCACAGAAGCUUCACAAGGAUUCGAUUACCUUAUAAGUAUCAAUGGAGUUACAGGUUCACCAGCAACCGUGAACCUGCACCAAUCACAACUCCCUCGAGCGCUGACAGAUGGUGUGCACGAUUUUUUGAUUAUGAAUCUGGUCAUCUCUUAUGUCUUUCUACCACAAGAACAAGAGUCGAACGAGGAGGGGCGUGAGUGUGUGACCAGUGCUAUGGUCUCUGCCAGUCGGAAGCAUGUUGAUACGUCACCUGUCAAGGAGUUGGGACCAAUGAAUCACUCGGGUGUCGAGGGACCUAGGUUGUCUCGUGUCGUUACAAGCACAACCUCUUAACCCGUGACCUCGAUGAUUCGACGAAUAGAUGGAUCAACAAUCUGUGACGCCACAUAGUAGUACGGACAAUUUAAGAGCAUGUAUAAUAGGUCACGUAUUUUUUCGCCCCUUAAAACGUGAGUAGAGGGCUCUGUAUUUACUUUUCGCCGGCCGAAAACUCGUCCGAGCUAGCAGACCCCGUAUCCCCACCCCGUAAAACAGAA